rnacentral:rRNA from 1 species
GAUGAACGCUGGCGGCGUGCCUAAUACAUGCAAGUCGAGCGAACGGACGAGAUGCUUGCUUCUCUGAUGUUAGCGGCGGACGGGUGAGUAACACGUGGAUAACCUACCUAUAAGACUGGGAUAACUUCGGGAAACCGGAGCUAAUACCGGAUAAUAUUUUGAACCGCAUGGUUCAAAAGUGAAAGACGGUCUUGCUGUCACUUAUAGAUGGAUCUGCGCUGCAUUAGCUAGUUGGUAAGGUAACGGCUUACCAAGGCAACGAUGCAUAGCCGACCUGAGAGGGUGAUCGGCCACACUGGAACGGAGACACGGUCCAGACUCCUGCGGGAGGCAGCAGUAGGGAAUCUUCCGCAAUGGGCGAAAGCCUGACGGAGCAACGCCGCGUGAGUGAUGAAGGUCUUCGGAUCGUAAAACUCUGUUAUUAGGGAAGAACAUAUGUGUAAGUAACUGUGCACAUCUUGACGGUACCUAAUCAGAAAGCCACGGCUAACUACGUG